rnacentral:rRNA from 1 species
AACGCUAGCUACAGGCUUAACACAUGCAAGUCGAGGGGCAGCAUGAACUUAGCUUGCUAAGUUUGAUGGCGACCGGCGCACGGGUGAGUAACGCGUAUCCAACCUUCCGUACACUCAGGAAUAGCCUUUCGAAAGAAAGAUUAAUACCUGAUGGUAUGAUGAGAUUGCAUGAAAUCAUCAUUAAAGAUUCAUCGGUGUACGAUGGGGAUGCGUUCCAUUAGAUAGUAGGCGGGGUAACGGCCCACCUAGUCGACGAUGGAUAGGGGUUCUGAGAGGAAGGUCCCCCACAUUGGAACUGAGACACGGUCCAAACUCCUACGGGAGGCAGCAGUGAGGAAUAUUGGUCAAUGGGCGCGAGCCUGAACCAGCCAAGUAGCGUGAAGGAUGAAGGUCCUACGGAUUGUAAACUUCUUUUAUAAGGGAAUAAAGUCACCCACGUGUGGGUGUUUGUAUGUACCUUAUGAAUAAGCAUCGGCUAACUCCGUGCCAGCAGCCGCGGUAAUACGGAGGAUGCGAGCGUUAUCCGGAUUUAUUGGGUUUAAAGGGAGCGUAGACGGGUCGUUAAGUCAGCUGUGAAAGUUUGAGGCUCAACCUUAAAAUUGCAGUUGAUACUGGCGUCCUUGAGUACGGUUGAGGCAGGCGGAAUUCGUGGUGCAGCGGUGAAAUGCUUAGAUAUCACGAAGAACUCCGAUUG